CUCAGCCAAAUCGCUGCCUGAUCAUCAUUGCAACUUGAUUCUCGUCGCUCCUCGCUCUGCUCGAUUCUCGUCGCUUCUCACCUGCCCCUUGCAAGCGUCGGUCUAUUGUUCACCAUCGUCUCUUCUUUCUAUCGGCAGCCUCUUGUAAAUUUUGUCAAGACGGCUCCCUGCGCUGGUAAGUUCGGCAGAGUCGCGGAGGCGAUGGCCAUGGGAAUCUACACCGCACGGAACGCUCCCUUGGGGCCGUACUGUCCCUCCUCUCUCUCCUUUGUUGCGGUCCCGCUCCCAGUUCUUGCUCAGGGGUCGCCGGUACUCGUUUGCUCUGGGUCAGAGCCGAGACGGUUCCAAGGUCUCUACUUUUCUUUAGAUACAAUCUCUGUUAUGAGAAAUUCCGUUUGGCUGUUUGUUUUCGCUGUACUUGUAGCUGAUUAGAUCGCUAAAAGGCCAGUGUUUUGUGUCUCUGUGCACAAAGUCCGUGUCUCUGUGUGUAUCUGUGUUCGGCACUGGCACUUAGGUGUUUGAUGGGUUAUCAUCUCAUAGUUGCCGUUGUUGUGCUUUCGCCAUUGCAACUUUGGUGGAAAUUGUUGCUAGUUCACUCGUGUGUGCGCGCGUAUUGUAGUUUUGCGGCGAUUUUUGGCCUGGAAAUUUUAGGAUGACAGGACAGUGCGGUUUUUGCUGUGCUGUUGGAUUUGAGGUUCUCGGGGCGAAGUAGAUGUAUGUGGGAGGAAAUUGCGUAUCUACAUUCUCUUUUUCGUAUCCACACUGCAAGUUGGCUUGUGCAAUCUUGAGUGAAAUGCUAGAGUAUUCAAAAUAUUUUAGGCAGGCAGGAAAACUUUUGAGGACAGGCUUUGGAGCAGUCAUCCCCGUGGAUUGGUAAUUAAGUUGUUUCUUUUUGAUAACUAUAACCCAGCUGCUUUGCUAGUCAAGCAAAAAUAGAGAAUAAGAAAAUUUUGAAGGGACCUAAUAAGAGAAGGAAAAUCUGGAUGACCGGAGGUAGGGAAGAUAUUGCUAAGACAACGGGGUUUGCAAUUGAUUCGUGAUAUUAUAGAUGAAAUCAAAACUCCGGCUGUCCGUUUUAGGAUUUGUUAAUUUUUCCCUAUAUUUUUUUUUUGGACAAAAUUGCCCAAACUCCAGUCGUCGGAAAUGUCACAUGUUUGAUAGCCGGCGAAUAUUUGGUUGACUAGCAAGCUCGGGUCCUUAUUUGGAAUUGAUUCAACCACUUUGGGUCCUUAUUCGAGACAAUAAAUUUACUUCGGGUUCUUAUCUGACACAAAGUUCACUUCGGGUCCUUAUUUGAGAAAAUUGAUCCACUUCGGGUCCUUAUUUGGAAUUUUCCCUAUCUUCUAUGAACUACAAUUUCAAUUUAUUUACAAAUUCCAUCUCUUUCACAGAAAAUAAACGAUUUAAAAAUAAUCGCUUGCACUAUAAAAAUCAAUGAACAAAAAAUAUAUUCAUCAUCUUAAAAAUAUUUAAAUAUAAAUCAUCGUUAAGUAUAAGAAUACUUUUCAUCGAUUAAUUAUUUUAAGUAAAUAACGAAAAUUUAUUAUUUAAAAAAAAUAUUUUCUAACGCGAAACAAACGGAAGUGUUAAACUUAUCUCCUUCUCCAUGAUCAAAACUCCAAUUUGCCGUCUCAAUGUCAGCAGAAUCGAUUAUGUAGUCAAAGACGUUAGAGCAGGUCAGCUAAGAUUAGCCUGAGCUGGCAGCACAGCGGAUGCAAUGUCAGGACCGACGUGGAUCCUGUUGUUUACUCAAACCUGCCUGCUUUUCCUAAUCUAAUCAUUCAGCUUUCUUUAAUGGCCAUCCCCCCCUCUUUCCCUGAAACCCGCAAGAUCUUCUCCCUACGCUAGUCCAAGACCUUAUUCCAGUAUAUAAAGGCCCCAUGUGCAGAAAUUUUCAUGACCCACAAAAGAACAAGAGAAAACCAAUCUCUCCUUCUCUCUUCUCUCUAGUUAAUUAGCAAGAUUUGCAAAGAUUGCCCAACAUCAUCAAAGAGGGAGUUGAGGAUUUUCGGGCGAUCGGGAUGAGAGCGUGACUAUUACAGAGCAAGAAUUCGUGACAAGGAGGAGCGAGAUGGGAGUAAAUGAAAUGGUUUUGAAUUCGAUGUUUGAGUUUUUUAUUGCCGAAGAAGCGAUUGUUCGGGAUCUGGAGUGGGAGAAGGAGAGGUAGGAGGCAGUGAUCCGGUGUCCCUGUUUUCCAUCUGUUUCUGCAGGUAAUUCUCAUCGCAGGCUCUCUCGAUUACUGGGUUGUUUUGCUGAUCGUGUCAUCCUGUUCGUAUGCUGAGUUUUACAGGAUGCCUUGUGAAAAACUUUUGAGUGUUAGUAAUUUGAAAACCUUCUCUAUUUUUGGCUUCCCCAAAUUAUGUUUUGAACAAGUUAUCGCAUUCACAGGCGAUCGCGUUCCCUCGUUUGAGCGCAAGAGUUGAUCUGGCAAUGGCCACGUCCGUGUUUCACGACCCCGUGAUCAUACUGUCCCUGGGAACGCAGUCGUCCAUGCUCGUUCCCAAUAUGGACCCAGAGUCCUCGAUUGCUGUAUGCGACUGCUGCGGCCUUACUGAGGAGUGCACGCCAGCCUACAUAGAGCGUGUCAGGAGCGCCACCACGGGAAAUGGAUAUGCGGGCUGUGCGCCGAGGCCGUGAAGGAUGAAAUCCUCAGGACCAACAAGAGCCAGAGCGCCGUGGCACUGAAGAGGCAAUGCCCAGCUCAGGAGUUUUUGCAAGAGGUCUAGUGAU
rnacentral:lncRNA from 1 species